GGAGCUUGCUCUUGGGGAUUAGUGGCGAACGGGUGAGUAACACGUGAGUAACCUGCCCUUGACUCUGGGAUAACCUCCGGAAACGGAAGCUAAUACCGGAUAUGACGCACGGAGGCAUCUCCUGUGCAUGGAAAGAAUUUCGGUCAAGGAUGGACUCGCGGCCUAGCAGGUAGUUGGUGAGGUAACGGCCCACCAAGCCUACGACGGGUAGCCGGCCUGAGAGGGUGACCGGCCACACUGGGACUGAGACACGGCCCACACUCCUACGGGAGGCAGCGGUGGGGAAUAUUGCACAAUGGGCGCAAGCCUGAUGCACCAACCCCGCGUGAGGGACGACAGCCUUCAGGUUGUAAACCUCUUUUAGUAGGGAAGAAACGAAAGUGACGGUACCUGCAUAAAAGCCACCGGCUAACUACUUGCCAGCAGCCGCGGUAAUACGUAGGGUGCGAGCGUUGUCCGGAAUUAUUGUGCGUAGCGAGCUCGUAGGCGGUUUGUCGCGUCUGCUGUGAAAACCCGAGGCUCAACCUCGGGCCUGCAGUGGGUACGGGCAGACUAGAGUGCGGUAGGGGAGAAUGGAAUUCCUGGUGUAGCGGUGGAAUGCGCAGAUAUCAGGAGGAACACCGAUGGCGAAGGCAGUUCUCUGGGCCGUAACUGACGCUGAGGAGCGAAAGCGUGGGGAGCGAACAGGAUUAGAUACCCUGGUAGUCCACGCCGUAAACGUUGGGCGCUAGAUGUGGGGACCAUUCCACGGUUUCCGUGUCGCAGCUAACGCAUUAAGCGCCCCGCCUGGGGAGUACGGCCGCAAGGCUAAAACUCAAAGGAAUUGACGGGGGCCCGCACAAGCGGCGGAGCAUGCGGAUUAAUUCUAUGCAACGCGAAGAACCUUACCAAGGCUUGACAUAUACGAGAACGGGCCAUAAAUGGUCAACUCUUUGGACACUCGUAAACAGGUGGUGCAUGGUUGUCGUCAGCUCGUGUCGUGAGAUGUUGGGUUAAGUCCCGCAACGAGCGCAACCCUCGUUCUAUGUUGCCAGCACGUAAUGGUGGGAACUCAUAGGAGACUGCCGGGGUCAACUCGGAGGAAGGUGGGGAUGACGUCAAAUCAUCAUGCCCCUUAUGUCUUGGGCUUCACGCAUGCUACAAUGGCCGGUACAAAGGGCUGCAAUACCGUAAGGUGGAGCGAAUCCCAAAAAGCCGGUCUCAGUUCGGAUUGAGGUCUGCAACUCGACCUCAUGAAGUCGGAGUCGCUAGUAAUCGCAGAUCAGCAACGCUGCGGUGAAUACGUUCCCGGGCCUUGUACACACCGCCCGUCAAGUCAUGAAAGUCGGUAACACCCGAAGCCGGUGGCCUAAC
rnacentral:rRNA from 1 species